AUUGAACGCUGGCGGAAUGCUUUACACAUGCAAGUCGAGCGGCAGCACGGGGGCAACCCUGGUGGCGAGCGGCGAACGGGUGAGUAAUACAUCGGAACAUGCCCAGUCGUGGGGGAUAACACUUCGAAAGAAGUGCUAAUACCGCAUACGUCCUGAGGGAGAAAGCGGGGGAUCUUCGGACCUCGCGCGAUUGGAGUGGCCGAUGUCAGAUUAGCUAGUUGGUGGGGUAAAGGCCUACCAAGGCAACGAUCUGUAGCUGGUCUGAGAGGAUGAUCAGCCACACUGGGACUGAGACACGGACCAGACUCCUACGGGAGGCAGCAGUGGGGAAUUUUGGACAAUGGGGGCAACCCUGAGCCAGCCAUGCCGCGUGAGUGAAGAAGGCCUUCGGGUUGUAAAGCUCUUUCGGCAGGAACGAAACGGCGAGCUCUAACAUAGCUUGCUAAUGACGGUACCUGAAGAAGAAGCACCGGCUAACUACGUGCCAGCAGCCGCCGUAACAC
rnacentral:rRNA from 1 species